AAGACUACAGGAUUCCCCCUAGUAACUGCGAGUGAAGCGGGAAAAGCUCAAAUUUAAAAUCUGAUAGCUUCUUGAAGCUGUCCGAGUUUGUANUUUAGAGAAGUGUUACCCGUGCUGGACCGUGUAUAACUCUUCUGGAAUGGAGCAUCAUUGAGGGUGAGAAUCCCGUCUUUGACACGGAACUGCCAGGACAUUGUGGUAUGCUCUCGACGAGUCNAGUUGUUUGGGAAUGCACCUCAAAAUGGGUGGUAAAUUCCAUCUAAAGCUAAAUAUUGGCGAGAGACCGAUAGCGAACAAGUACCGUGAGGGGAAGAUGAAAAGAACUUUGGAAAGAGAGUUAAACAGUACGUGAAAUUGCUGAAAGGGAAACGCUUGAAGUCAGUCGCGUUGACUGGAAAUCAGCCUGGCUCUUUUGCUUGGUGUACUUUCUAGUUUGACGGGUCAACAUCAGUUUUGACUGCUGGAUAAAGGUUGAAGGAAUGNGGCUCCUUUAGGAGUGUUAUAGACUUUGGCUGUAUACAGUGGUUGGGACUGANGAACUCACCACGCCUUUACGGGCCGGGUUUUAAACCACGUACNUGCUUAGGAUGUUGGCAUAAUGGCUUUAAUCGACCCGUCUUGAAACACGGACCAAGGAGUCUAACAUGCAUGCGAGUGUUUGGGUGGAAAACCCAUGCGCGUAAUGAAAGUGAAAGUUAACAUCUCUGUCAUGGAGAGCACUGACGCCCA
rnacentral:rRNA from 1 species